GGAAGUUUACAUUUUAAAGAUGCAAGAAGGCACUAAACAAGGGCAGUGAGGUACAACAAGCUCUGUGGUUUUAUUUCUCCUAAAUGGGAGGAAACAUAGAGAGGAAGAAAAGUAUGCAAUCUCAGUUGCAAAUGGAGGCAGGGGCUCACCAUGUUCUCUGAUACGAUUGUACCGCCCAUUGGUAAGAAUCAGAGGCUGAAAAGAUUCUGUUACUGAAACUCAACACUUAGUUGAUACCUGCUACAACUUUAACUACUCGUUGACUGUUUACGGCUUUUGCUGUAAGUUGGAGUAUGGUGACAAACACACAACUGAGGCCUUUGAGAUACUAUAUGAACUGCUCCAACAUUCUGAAGAGAAGGUCUGGAUCAUUUAAGUAGGACUUGCAAAGAAAGUGGCCUAGAUCCUUAGCUGAGCUGAUCACUUACCUCAAACCUAUAAAGAAGUGGAGGGGCCAAGAAUAGGUGUUGGAUAUCAGCGGGAGAGUUUCAUCAAAGAGCUGUCAGUUUCAUCUCAACCUUACCCUCCAGGAGAGGUAAGAUGUCCUCUGUCUCACAAUAAAUGAGUUUGACUUUUGGUCCUGGGCAUCUGUGGUACUGAGAGCUUAGGGCUGGCUCCAUGCUUUAAAAUAUGUAUAUGUGAGAACUGCAUGAACUCGCCAGUGCGGAGAUGAAAAAGAAAGAAAAAA
ensembl:lncRNA novel transcript